ACUAGAGUAGCACUCGCAUAUCAAUAAGCGGAGGAAAAGAAACUAACAAGGAUUCCCCUAGUAACGGCGAGUGAAGCGGGAAGAGCUCAAAUUUGAAAUCUUAAAGGGUUUCCCUUUACGAAUUGUAGUUUAAAGAAGUGUUUUCUGUUGAGGUUUUGGUAAAAGUUCUUUGGAAUAGGACAUCAUAGAGGGUGAGAAUCCCGUAUUUGACCUUUACUUUCAACUUUGUGAUAUACUUUCAAAGAGUCGGAUUGUUUGGGAAUGCAGUCCAAAAUGGGUGGUAAAUUUCAUCUAAAGCUAAAUAUUGGCGAGAGACCGAUAGCGAACAAGUACCGUGAGGGAAAGAUGAAAAGAACUUUGAAAAGAGAGUUAAACAGUACGUGAAAUUGUCAAAAGGGAAGCGUUUGACACCAGCUGUUGUUUUUCUGAAAAUCAAUUAAAGAACUGUUUAUGCUAAGUUGUUUAGACUUUAUCAGCUAUCUGUUUAGUUUUAGGCUUUUCUUUAAUGCACUUUUCAGUUAACAAGUCAACAUCAAUUUCUUUUGCUGUAAAAAAGCUUGAGGAAGGUGGCUUGAGAUUCGUCUUAAGUGUUUAUAGCCUCUUGCCUAUGCAGUCGGAGAGAUUGAGGUCUGCAGCGUAGAUCCUUCGGGGCUAAAUGCAUUUGUGCUAAGUUAUAGCAUUUUAUAGACAACUUGUUGACUAUGAUUUGUCUUGUAGCUUACUCGCUUAUGUUAUUUUACCUACGCUUAGGAUGUUGAGCGCAUGUCUCUCUCU
rnacentral:rRNA from 1 species